rnacentral:misc_RNA from 1 species
UUUCUCCUUUUUUUUUUUUUGUUAUACUUUAUCACUCUUCCUGCCCCAAACACCACGGCUCCCAACUGAAUGCAAGAAGAAAUAACAACACGAUUAUGAAAAAUAUAUCAUAUAUACAAUCUCAUUUAUCAAUGAGUUAAGCCAGUGGACCUCAACAUCCUAGGCUAGAAGAUGUCAAAACAUUAACCUUGAAUUGUUUUUUAGGUAUUCAUUUCUUUUAGGGUAGAUUUUUUAGGUGUUUUUUUACAAUCUCUAAUUUUAUCACUAUUGGUUUGGUGUGCCAAAUAUG